rnacentral:rRNA from 1 species
AUACAGAGGGUGCAAGCGUUAAUCGGAAUUACUGGGCGUAAAGCGUGCGUAGGUGGAUAUUUAAGUCAUAUGUGAAAGCCCCGGGCUUAACCUGGGAAUUGCAUCUGAUACUGGGUAUCUAGAGUAUGGUAGAGGAUAGUGGAAUUUCCGGUGUAGCGGUGAAAUGCGUAGAUAUCGGAAGGAACACCAGUGGCGAAGGCGACUGUCUGGGCCAAUACUGACACUGAGGUACGAAAGCGUGGGUAGC